AACGUGGAAGUCCGGCGUUUAAGACUCGCGCGGCGCUGGAGCGU
rnacentral:sRNA from 1 species